rnacentral:rRNA from 1 species
CACGUAGGCGGACUCUUAAGUCAGGGGUGAAAUCCUGGAGCUCAACUCCAGAACUGCCUUUGAUACUGAGAGCCUUGAGUCCGGAAGAGGUAAGUGGAACUGCGAGUGUAGAGGUGAAAUUCGUAGAUAUUCGCAAGAACACCAGUGGCGAAGGCGGCUUACUGGUCCGGUACUGACGCUGAGGUGCGAAAGCGUGGGGAGCAAACA